rnacentral:rRNA from 1 species
CAUGGCGCUGGUGGCGGCCUAACACAUGCAAGUCGAGCGGUAGCACAGAGAGCUUGCUCUCGGGUGACGAGCGGCGGACGGGUGAGUAAUGUCUGGGAAACUGCCUGAUGGAGGGGGAUAACUACUGGAAACGGUAGCUAAUACCGCAUAANGUCCCAAGACCAAAGAGGGGGACCUUCGGGCCUCUUGCCAUCAGAUGUGCCCAGAUGGGAUUAGCUAGUAGGUGGGGUAACGGCUCACCUAGGCGACGAUCCCUAGCUGGUCUGAGAGGAUGACCAGCCACACUGGAACUGAGACACGGUCCAGACUCCUACGGGAGGCAGCAGUGGGGAAUAUUGCACAAUGGGCGCAAGCCUGAUGCAGCCAUGCCGCGUGUAUGAAGAAGGCCUUCGGGUUGUAAAGUACUUUCACCGGGGAAGAAGGUGCUGAGGUUAAUAACCUCACCAAUUGACGUUACCCGCAGAAGAAGCACCGGCUAACUCCGUG